AUAGUGGAUGGAGACAUUAAAGCCUACAGUUUUGGGUGUCCAUGCACGGACAUUUCUCUUGAUUUUCUCGAACUGAGUUCAGAUCUAGAAAUUUCUCCUUGCAUUAAUGACGUCUUGUGGUCCUAAGAUAACCCAUCUGGACGACUGGUUAUGUAGAAUUAGAUGCAAAGAGAGAUCAGAGAAGAACUUGGAGGAGAGAGGGAGG
rnacentral:lncRNA from 1 species